GAAAAUAAUAACAAAAAAUUGGCAGCGGUGGGAUUCGAACCCACGCCUCCGAAGAGACUGGUGCCUUAAACCAGCGCCUUAGACCGCUCGGCCACGCUACCGCUUAUAUUGACUAUUAAUGAUGAUUUUAUUAUUUCUAACCUCAACUUUUUUUAUCGCAUAAUAUUGAAAUGAAAUCAUGAAUCAAUUAUAAACGUGCCUCGUCUCACAUUGAUAAAUACAAUCAUCGAACAGUUUCAAUAAUUCAUUCCAACGAGAUACAACUUUCGACGAGGAACGUUUAACCAAUGUUAGAAAAUGAUAGGGUAUCGAUUAAUCGCACUCAACUCAAAAUACAAAGUCGUCAAGCUAGGUGGUUGGUUGGUGUUAGUGGAUGCAAGUCGCAGGAAAGCACGAAGUGAGGAUGCAUCCCCGCGGUGAAUUAAUCAUUUCAACAGCUGCUGUCGCAUUAGCGACAGCGGAUAAGACAAAUGAACGUCGUGGAGCUUGUUAAGACGUAAUCCGAGAGAUGCGUCUCCCGCUUCCACCUUCACCUCCCGACGCCGUCAUCCUCUUCCGUUUUCUGCCAUCGCAUCCCUCGUCUCAUCUGGGAUUAGUCUCCGGUCAAACGAAUUUUCUUCUUUUAUGUAAAGGACUUCGUUAUUUCGUAUGCUAGUUACAUACAAUUUUGUCAAGUUUCGAGAUACCAUCGUUGAAAUUUUUCUCCCACAUUUGAAACCUUCCAGAUCCAAAAGAUUGCAUCCGACUAUACUUAUGAGGAAAUUUCGAUGACAGAUAACGUCAAUGCGGGUAUACCGUUAAAGAUUCGCCCCGAACAGUUUUAAUCAGAGUAUAAAAGUUCAUCGUAAAGCUGGAUUAUGCGAGUCGAUAUAUAUAGAUCGACUUUUCAAAUACAAGUACGCCGACGUUCUUUGGAUCUACUUCGCUUUUGUCGGACCGAGUAUUGCGCCUCUCCAUUUUGUCAUCCCCUAGUGGAGUUUCAAUGUUGUAACCAUGGAGACGUCGCGUUUCCGCAAGGGGAACGUAUAAGGGGUGUCGAGCCUGGAUGAUUGAUGAGAAAAUUUGCUCUCGGGCCCGUCAACCUUUCAACGCUUCACGGCGUGUCCUCGGCGUUAAAUGGCCAAUGAGUUUCAUAGGAGCCAUUAAGAAAGGGGUCCUUGAUUCGUAAUGAGACUCUCAAGGAGAAUCUUAUGAUUAUCACCCAUUAGGAUAAUAGGGAACGAAGGGAACGUUUGUUAGUUCUGGGCCAUGUCACGAAUGCAAUUAGUGACUGAUUCGCCAAGCACUGGGAAGUCCUUCACAGUAAUAGCGAAGGGCUCUUCAACUGUUCAAGUACUCUUCCGGUAGCGACUGCAUUUUGAUUUGCGCCCCAACGUACUACCUUAAAGUGCAACUUCGCUUUACUGCAAACCAAUGGAGAGAUGGGCAUACCUUUAACGAGAAAAACUCGGCAUUCGAUGACGAAAGUUUCUACGGGGGAGACUGUUUACAGGCACGGGAAAAUCGUCGCUGAUGCUUUAGAACGCCUCGUUGUAACCAGAUUCCCAUUAAAGCAACACCUUUUGUAGCACGGAACGGCAUUGUGGUAACAUUAUUGUCCGCAACAAGGACGCAUUAUAAUUCAUUGUGUUGUUCUCGUAGCGUAAACCAUUCAAAGAUGCCUAAUGCGACACCUGGUAGGUGUAAUGUUGCCGCCAUAUUCUAUUAUAAGGAUAAUUUGAUACAUAUCGUAAGCGAAAUCCCAUACAAGUUUUGUCGAGACCCUGUGACCCUCCGAGUGAAAUCGUUG